AACGAAUUAGUUUAAUUAAAGAAUUUUGGGUUUGCGUCUCGAAGGUGAAAUUUUUCAUUCGUUG
rnacentral:tRNA from 1 species